rnacentral:rRNA from 1 species
GACGAACGCUGGCGGCGUGCUUAACACAUGCAAGUCGAACGGUGAAGGGACUGGUUUUGCUGGUCCUGGAUGAGUGGCGAACGGGUGAGUAACACGUGAGUAACCUGCCCCCUUCUUCUGGAUAACCGCAUGAAAGUGUGGCUAAUACGGGAUAUUCUGGGUCUGUCGCAUGGUGGGCCUGGGAAAGAUUGCGCCUUUUUUGGUGUUUUUGGUGGGGGAUGGGCUCGCGGCCUAUCAGCUUGUUGGGGGGGUGAUGGCCUACCAAGGCGGUGACGGGUAGCCGGCCUGAGAGGGUGGACGGUCACACUGGGACUGAGACACGGCCCAGACUCCUACGGGAGGCAGCAGUGGGGAAUAUUGCACAAUGGGCGCAAGCCUGAUGCAGCGACGCCGCGUGAGGGAUGGAGGCCUUCGGGUUGUGAACCUCUUUCGCCAGUGAAGCAGGCCUGCCUCUUUUUGUGGGUGGGUUGACGGUAGCUGGAUAAGAAGCGCCGGCUAACUACGUG